ACCCACGCGCGCGGGCGGUUGACCCCUACCUCCGGGCGGAUACACCUAGCCCACAUAGCUCCCCGUCCUUCCGCGUCGGCAAGAUACACGGCGACGACGUGGUCCUCGCUGUCCUUGCUCUCUGCCGCGAGUACGGCGGCGACAUGGACCUGCCCGGGACCCCCCGCCCCCCACCACCACACCGGAUCUUUCCUCUCGCACUCCUCCUAUUUUCCCUUCUCUUCUCCUUCCUGCCAAGGUGAAAUCGAAAUCCAGCCAAUCCCGGAGCUCGCCUCGUCGUCCCCGCUCCUUUCCACUCCAGGACGCCCGAUCCUCUCUUCCCAGAUCCGGUUUCAGGGGCUAUCGGAGUCGCCCUCGCCCAUGUCCGGCGCCAUGGGGUCGGAUCCGGCUAAGGCAGCUCGCUCGUGACACAGUCGACUUCUGGCUGCUGCUCACCUACAAGGUGGUGCUCUAACUAUUAGCAGAGCAGUGUCUACUUCUCUGAGCUCUUGAAACAGGCACACUAGCACUACUAACACCAGUUAUAUAUGCUAAAAGUUCAACGCCAAUGGCGCGGCGGCCUGUGCUUCCUAGUUGUUUCUUUCAAGUCUGUGCUCGAUUUUAUCUCAUGAAGUACAUUGUUGCUUAUAAACCCAGAUAUCACAAUUUUAGGUGUUUUUGUUUUUUCGUCUUAUCGAGUUUUCCUUUUCGGCUUUCCAGAAGGAGGUCACUUUCAUGGAGCACAAUUCAUUGUUUUCCUUUUGUUGCUUAUAAAGUAAUACGAAGCCUUGUGCAAUUUAUUUGUGAUUUACAGAGCUGCAUUGUUUUAUCCAAGAGCAUCUGAAAUCUACCAUGCGUGCUAUUUGAACACAGCGAUGUAAAUACCUACCAGAAUUGUUUUCCCAUACAUCAUUCCUAGUGACAACAUGUUAACCAUUCUCAAUACAUUCAAGUGUGCUCAGUGACACAAGUGCAUGUUUCUAAAAUUGCUCUCUAAAUGGUGAGUUUUCAUUUAUUGAUCUGUAAUUUUAUGAAUGUUCUGAAAUGUCAUCACUAUUCUCCUCGCAAUUGUUGUAGUUCUGGUUUGAUUCUGUCCAUGCCCAAGUAUAUUUGGAAGUUCUUCCUACGGAGUACCUGUGAUUUUCUGCUUGAUGCAGAUCAUGGGAACUGAUCUUUUAGGGAGCACACAAAUACCACGCAGGUACUUCUCCUUGUUACCCAUUGUCUGUAGUUUCUGCCAAAGUUUCGAAGUAUAUCUAUCACAUAACUGAAAUUAUUUGCAAGGUAUUAAACUAGAACUGUUGAUUUGGACUUUUCAUUCAUUGUGAGGCUAAGUCUACUUACAUUCCAAUACUGUCGGAAGCAAUAAAGGCCACUUGAGAUGAUUUUUUCUAGUUUAGAUGUUGAGACUUGGAUAAACUGCUAGGCACCUGUCGUAUGUGAAUAUGUGAUAUUCCAGACUCUAUAGUGAACUGUAGGGAAGGAUGUGUGAUGUUGUACCUAGUAUCAUGUUCCUGUUUUAGUUGUCUCAAUCUUCUCGGCUACGUCACUUUUGUUUUGUAACUAAAGCUUGUGGUUGUUAGAGGAAGUAUUGUUUAUCAUUGUAUCUACAUUUCUACUAGUUUAUCAGGAAGUGUCCUCUUUUUUUUUUUUUUUGUUGUUGUUUUGUUUUGUUGCAAUUUUACUAGAUGUGAAAGGUACCAGCUACAACUUACAAUGAGGGCGUUUAUCUUUUCAUGCAUUAUUGGAGAGCCGCCAACCUCGUGGUGAAGAAAAAAUGCAUGCCUGCAUCUGCAAGAGGACAUCGAUGGGAGAUCCUGUCUGUACCAGAAUAUUGUUGUAUGACUUGCCGAGAUAGUCAAAGGAUGUUGUUUUGAUUUUUGAAGGCUUGUAGCCUGUCCCAAAAGCAGAAGGAUGAAUUGUUUUGUUUUGUUUGGCUAUGUAGUGAUUAGUCUAACCCUCUAGAUAGAAAGGGAGUUUAAACUAAAUUUAGUAUUCUUCCGGUUCUAAGGGAUGGCUCUGAAUCUAAACUUGUAUUACUGCGUUAUGAUAACUUAUGUUUGUGAACCGAACCUUAGGAUGGGGUUGUUGUCUCCAUUUAUGUGCUA